UGGGGAAUUUUGCACAAUGGGGGAAACCCUGAUGCAGCGACGCCGCGUGAUUUAGAAGGCCUUCGGGUUGUAAAAAUCUUUUGUAUGGGAAGAAAAUGACAGUACCAUACGAAUAAGGACCGGCUAAUUACGUGCCAGCAGCCGCGGUAAUACGUAAGGUCCGAGCGUUGUCCGGAAUCAUUGGGCGUAAAGGGUACGUAGGCGGAUAAGCAAGUUAGAAGUGAAAUCCUAUAGCUCAACUAUAGUAAGCUUUUAAAACUGCUCAUCUUGAGGUAUGGAAGGGAAAGUGGAAUUCCUGGUGUAGCGGUGAAAUGCGCAGAUAUUAGGAGGAAUACCGGUGGCGAAGGCGACUUUCUGGCCAUAUACUGACGCUGAGGUACGAAAGCGUGGGUAGCAAACAGG
rnacentral:rRNA from 1 species